AGUUCAUCACUAAGGGAAGUCAUGGCAGGAACUCAAGACAGAAAGCUGGAGGCAAGAACUGAAGCAGCAACCACAGAAGAAUGCUGUCUCCGGGGUUGCUUUCCCUGACUUGCUCAGAUACUGUUCUUAUACAGUCCAGAACCACAUGGCUAGGGAUGACCACCCACACUGGUCUGGGACCUCCUACAUCAAUUGGCGAUUGAGAAAAUGCUCCACCAUAGAUAUUCUCACAGGCCAAUCCCUUGAAGACAAUUUCUCAACUGAACUUCCAUCUUCCCAGUAGUGUGCACAGCAUCUUCAACCAGUAUCCCUACCAUGUAGGGAUGAAGCUUACAGCUGAAUACCAAAUGAAUCUCUCUACAUCCUAUGAUUUAAGAUUGUGGUGUCUUCAGCGAUGGCGUCUUAUCAUCAAGUUCCAGAAGGUAACAAAAGAGCACUGGCAGUAGCCUGGUUAUAUUUGAUGGUCUAUGGAACUCCACUGUGCAACAGCUUCAAAAAGGAGUGAUGCUGAAAGGAGUGGGAAGUGUGCUCCCCAGGGAGAAGCACAAGGUGGAAUCUCAUCAUCCAGGUGAGGAAACAGCAAGAGUCAGUGAAGACGCCAAAAGAUGAGUGCCAGGCUCAUCCAUGCUGGUGAGAUGGUGAGAGAUGACAGAAGAUGAGUGCCGGGAUAAUCCACACUGGUGAGAUGGUGAGAGAGAGCAGAAGAUGAGUGCCGGGCUCAUCCAUGCUGGUGAGAUGGUGAGAGAUGGCAGAAGAUGAGUGCUGGGCUUAUCCACACUGGUGAGAUGGUGAGAGAGAGCAGAAGAUGAGUGCCGGGCUCAUCCACACUGGUGAGAAUCUGAGUAGACAACAAGCUUUAGAAGGGCAUUUUCUAUACAAAUUUGACAAUCUUUAAAAGGGGGAGUUUUUCUUAAUCCCUACAAACACAUAUACAGAGAGAGAGGGGGGGGUAGGCAGAGAUACAAAGAG